rnacentral:rRNA from 1 species
GACGAACGCUGGCGGCGUGCUUAACACAUGCAAGUCGAACGGAGAUUUUUAUUUCGGUAAAGAUCUUAGUGGCAAACGGGUGAGUAACGCGUAGGCAACCUGCCUUUCCGAUGGGGACAACAGUUCGAAAGGACUGCUAAUACCGAAUGAUGUAUAUCUUCCGCAUGGAGGACAUACCAAAGACGGCCUCUAUAUAUAAGCUGUCACGGAAAGAUGGGCCUGCGUCUGAUUAGCCAGUUGGCGGGGUAAUGGCCCACCAAAGCGACGAUCAGUAGCCGGUCUGAGAGGAUGAACGGCCACAUUGGGACUGAGACACGGCCCAAACUCCUACGGGAGGCAGCAGUGGGGAAUCUUCCGCAAUGGACGAAAGUCUGACGGAGCAACGCCGCGUGAGUGAAGAAGGUUUUCGAAUCGUAAAGCUCUGUUGUCAGGGACGAGCAGGGGGAGUAUCAACAACACUUCCUCAUGACGGUACCUGACGAGGAAGCCACGGCUAACUACGUGCCAGCAGCCGCGGUAA